rnacentral:misc_RNA from 1 species
UCGAGACCCGUAACGAGUAGACCGCGCACAUGUUUAUGCCGCACGGGGCUCCGGCGGGAUCGGCGCACGCGCCUCCCGUCGUCGCCCCGCACACCCGCCGGCGCUUGCGCAAGCGAAGCACGCCCGGUGGGGCCAAGAACAAACCCACGGCGCAGAAUGGCGCCAAGGAUCACGAACGCGGAGCGCCGUCCCCGUCGUGCACCCGUCCGCGGCGUGCCGUGCGGGGAACGUGCGCCUCCCGAUAUUGAAUAUGAGAAAAAU